rnacentral:rRNA from 1 species
UUACAAUGGAGAGUUUGAUCCUGGCUCAGGAUGAACGCUAGCGGCAGGCCUAAUACAUGCAAGUCGGACGGGAUUGGAGAGCUUGCUUUCCAUGAGAGUGGCGCACGGGUGCGUAACGCGUGAGCAACCUACCCUUGUCAGGGGGAUAGCCCGGAGAAAUCCGGAUUAAGACCGCAUAACAUUGUGAUAUGGCAUCAUAUUAUAAUCAAAUAUUUAUAGGACAAGGAUGGGCUCGCGUGACAUUAGCUAGUUGGUAAGGUAACGGCUUACCAAGGCAAUGAUGUCUAGGGGCUCUGAGAGGAGAAUCCCCCACACUGGUACUGAGACACGGACCAGACUCCUACGGGAGGCAGCAGUAAGGAAUAUUGGUCAAUGGGCGGAAGCCUGAACCAGCCAUGCCGCGUGCAGGAAGACUGCCCUAUGGGUUGUAAACUGCUUUUGCCAGGGAAUAAAUGUACCGAUGUAUCGGUAUUUGAAUGUACUUGGAGAAUAAGGAUCGGCUAACUCCGUGCCAGCAGCCGCGGUAAUACGGAGGAUCCAAGCGUUAUCCGGAAUUAUUGGGUUUAAAGGGUGCGUAGGCGGCAUGCUAAGUCAGGGGUGAAAGACGGUGGCUCAACCAUCGCAGUGCCUUUGAUACUGGUGUGCUUGAAUGUACAUGAGGUAGGCGGAAUGAGACAAGUAGCGGUGAAAUGCAUAGAUAUGUCUCAGAACACCAAUUGCGAAGGCAGCUUACUAAGGUAUGAUUGACGCUGAUGCACGAAAGCGUGGGGAUCAAACAGGAUUAGAUACCCUGGUAGUCCACGCCCUAAACGAUGAUAACUCGAUGUUAGCGAUAUACAGUUAGCGUCCAAGCGAAAGCGUUAAGUUAUCCACCUGGGGAGUACGCCCGCAAGGGUGAAACUCAAAGGAAUUGACGGGGGCCCGCACAAGCGGAGGAGCAUGUGGUUUAAUUCGAUGAUACGCGAGGAACCUUACCCGGGCUUGAAAGUUACUGAAUGACUCAGAGAUGAGUCAGUCCUUCGGGACAGGAAACUAGGUGCUGCAUGGCUGUCGUCAGCUCGUGCCGUGAGGUGUUGGGUUAAGUCCCGCAACGAGCGCAACCCCUAUGUUUAGUUGCCAGCAUGUAAAGGUGGGGACUCUAAACAGACUGCCUGUGCAAACAGAGAGGAAGGUGGGGACGAUGUCAAGUCAUCAUGGCCCUUACGUCCGGGGCUACACACGUGCUACAAUGGGCAGUACAGCGGGCAGCUACCUGGUAACAGGAUGCUAAUCUCGUAAAGCUGUUCACAGUUCGGAUUGGGGUCUGCAACUCGACCCCAUGAAGUUGGAUUCGCUAGUAAUCGCGUAUCAGCAAUGACGCGGUGAAUACGUUCCCGGGCCUUGUACACACCGCCCGUCAAGCCAUGAAAGCUGGGGGUACCUAAAGCAUGUAACCGCAAGGAGCGUGUUAGGGUAAAACCGGUAAUUGGGGCUAAGUCGUAACAAGGUAGCCGUACCGGAAGGUGCGGCUGGAAUACCUCCUUUCU